rnacentral:tRNA from 1 species
GUGCCUGUCGCUCAGUGGAUAGAGCGUCUGUUUCUUAGUCGUAGGUUCGAUCCCUACCGGGCGUG